rnacentral:rRNA from 1 species
GACGAACGCUGGCGGCGUGCUUAACACAUGCAAGUCGAGCGGUAAGGCCCCUUCGGGGUACGACGAGCGGCGAACGGGUGAGUAACACGUGGGUGACCUGCCCUCAGCUCUGGGAUAAGCCUGGGAAACCGGGUCUAAUACCGGAUAUGACUCCAUGACGCAUGUUGUGGGGUGGAAAGCCUUGUGCGGCUGAGGAUGGGCCCGCGGCCUAUCAGCUUGUUGGUGGGGUGAUGGCCUACCAAGGCGACGACGGGUAGCCGGCCUGAGAGGGCGACCGGCCGACACUGGGACUGAGACACGGCCCAGACUCCUACGGGAGGCAGCAGUGGGGAAUCUUGCGCAAUGGGCGAAAGCCUGACGCAGCGACGCCGCGUGAGGGAUGACGGCC